UACGUAGGGGGCAAGCGUUGUCCGGAAUCAUUGGGCGUAAAGCGCGUGUAGGCGGCCCGGUAAGUCCGCUGUGAAAGUCCAGGGCUCAACCCUGGAAUGCCGGUGGAUACUGUCGGGCUCGAGUCCGGAAGAGGCGAGUGGAAUUCCUGGUGUAGCGGUGAAAUGCGCAGAUAUCAGGAGGAACACCGGUGGCGAAGGCGGGUCUCUGGGACGUUACUGACGCUGAGACGCGAAAGCGUGGGGAGCAAACAGG
rnacentral:rRNA from 1 species